GACGAACGCUGGCGGCGUGCUUAACACAUGCAAGUGGUGCGACGAACCAGGCUUCGGCCUGGGGCAGAGCCGCGAACGGGUGAGUAACACGUGGGCAACCUGCCCUGUUGAUCGGGACAACCCGGGGAAACCCGGGCUAAUACCGAAUGUGGUGCCGGCUCAUGAGAGCCGUCACUAAAGGAAGACUCGGCCUCCGCGACAGGAUGGGCCCGCGGCCCAUUAGCUUGUUGGUGGGGUAAUGGCCUACCAAGGCAACGAUGGGGAGCUGGUCUGAGAGGACGAUCAGCCACACUGGGACUGAGACACGGCCCAGACUCCUACGGGAGGCUGCAGUGGGGAAUCUUGCGCAAUGAGCGACAGCUUGACGCAGCAACGCCGCGUGGGGGAAGAAGGCUUUCGGGUCGUAAACCCCUUUCAGUUAGGACGAAGCUUUAUUGGUUAAUAACCAAUUGGAGUGACGGUACUUUCAGAAGAAGCCCCGGCUAACUACGUGCCAGCAGCCGCGGUAA
rnacentral:rRNA from 1 species